rnacentral:rRNA from 1 species
AUUGAACGCUGGCGGAAUGCUUUACACAUGCCAGUCGAGCGGCAGCACGGGGGCAACCCUGGUGGCGAGCGGCGAACGGGUGAGUAAUACAUCGGAACAUGCCCAGUCGUGGGGGAUAACACUUCGAAAGAAGUGCUAAUACCGCAUACGUCCUGAGGGAGAAAGCGGGGGAUCGCAAGACCUCGCGCGAUUGGAGUGGCCGAUGUCAGAUUAGCUAGUUGGUGGGGUAAAGGCCUACCAAGGCAACGAUCUGUAGCUGGUCUGAGAGGAUGAUCAGCCACACUGGGACUGAGACACGGCCCAGACUCCUACGGGAGGCAGCAGUGGGGAAUUUUGGACAAUGGGGGCAACCCUGAUCCAGCCAUUCCGCGUGAGUGAAGAAGGCCUUCGGGUUGUAAAGCUCUUUCGGCAGGAACGAAACGGCGAGCUCUAACAUAGCUUGCUAAUGACGGUACCUGAAGAAGAAGCACCGGCUAACUACGUG